CAGGUGCUGAACACGCACAGCAGUUAGUACACGUGUGUAGCAGGCUGUCAGGUCCACAAGAUCUUACCCGGCCGUGCAGCCAGUCCUCACACGACACACACUGGAUCAUUUCGUCCUCAACCUGACAAUGAAGCGACCAGAAGUUGUUGGGUUUUUUUUUUUUUGUGUGCAGGCUGCCAUGAGUGUCACCUGGUCUUCCGGGUCCGGAUACGGCCGGCGGCAAGUGCAGUACUCUCCGAAGAAGUUGUGACUGUAUUUAUUCAAGCUGUUGACGUCAUCCUUGUCCUAGCUCGCGUAACAAACACACCAUCAGCAUAUUGGAGGACGAGCGUGAGAGGGGAGGACGAAAAGCGUUUCGCGACUCACGUGAAAGAGUUUACACGGCGCGUCCGCAAACUUGCCAUUUCCGCAGUCACAGCGGAAAUUCCUGAACACAACAUGGUCCUUCAGUCAUCCGCCAAGCGAGGGGCUUUAAGGACAAGACUGCAUUGCUACACAUUACCUGAGGAUACGAGCAGUGGUCCGAGUCACUUCCAGCCAACACGGCGGACGCUUCUUCUUCCAGCUCUUCAUCUUCCUGCAGGACGUCCACCAGAGAAACAGUCUGCUCCUCUGACAUUUUGGCCACCUUGUUUUCGAGUGGAGAAUUUGAGAAGGAAAAAAAAAAAAGAUGUGACAAAUCUAGAAGAUGGUCGCACACCACUCUCAAGUCGUUACUACUCUGUCCAACGUUUUGUUGUUCCGUCAUCUUGAUCACAUGCAUGUUUACGCUCUGCAAAUUGCAAUACCAGAAUGAUCCGAAUGACUAAACCUUUGAAUAUUAUAUGGAUGGAAAUAAAGCACCCUAGUCGUA